rnacentral:rRNA from 1 species
CGGCGGACGGGUGAGUAACACGUGGAUAACCUACCUAUAAGACUGGGAUAACUUCGGGAAACCGGAGCUAAUACCGGAUAAUAUAUUGAACCGCAUGGUUCAAUAGUGAAAGACGGUUUUGCUGUCACUUAUAGAUGGAUCCGCGCCGCAUUAGCUAGUUGGUAAGGUAACGGCUUACCAAGGCAACGAUGCGUAGCCGACCUGAGAGGGUGAUCGGCCACACUGGAACUGAGACACGGUCCAGACUCCUACGGGAGGCAGCAGAU